rnacentral:ncRNA from 1 species
CCCGCUGAGUUUAAGCAUAUCAAUAAGCGGAGGAAAAGAAACUUACCAGGAUUCCCCUAGUAACGGCGAGCGAAUCGGGAAAGGCCCAGCUUGAGAAUCGGGCGCCACCGGCGUUUGAAUUGUAGUCUGGAGAAGCGUCCUCAGCGGCAGACCGGGCCCAAGUCCCCUGGAAAGGGGCACCGGAGAGGGUGAGAGCCCCGUCGUGCCCGGACCCUGUCGCACCAUGAGGCGCUGUCUACGAGUCGGGUUGUUUGGGAAUGCAGCCAUAAUCGUGGGUUGUACCGUGCCAUGCCUUGC